rnacentral:lncRNA from 10 species
CCCAAGGCCACCUUCGUGGGCACACGACCCGAGCAGUCACACAGGACCCUGUGAUCAGAAUGGCCUCACUUGGGUUUAAUACUCUGCUGUCUUCAUCUUAAAAUUCUUAAUAAUUUAAUGUUUGAGCCCGUGCUUUGUAAGUGAAGUCUGAUGGAACAACGGAGCAUGCGCGUGAGUAGAGGAGAUACAGACGAUACGUGUGUCUGAGUUUUUUGUGGCUCCAUUAGCAUAUGGUGUUGAUGAUGCCCCCUGAGCACAGAAUUCUGGUGAGCCCACAAUGCAUGGGAGUUCAGCGAGAUUCAAUGCCAGUACAAGGAAUGGACACUCCCUCCUGGCCAGCUUGCCCACCCUCCAGGCCACAGUUUGCACACUGUUUGUCUCCCCGAGAAGAGCUACCCCUCCCUCCCUGGCUUAUGCUGGGCUUUGUGCGAGAUGGACCCUGAGAUGGUGACUGGUGUAUAGGAUCCUGAUUGGAGGCUGCUGUCAGGAACAAUGCCUGUGAGGGAGAAAGGGCUGCAGGAUGGGGCAGAGGGAGAAGCUGAACUACAGUGCAGUUGCAACAGAGGCCUCAGUCAACUCCAAGGCAAGUUCUGGGGCUGGGAUGGCCCUUCAGAGAUGUCCUAAAUUGAGGCAAAGGGGUAAGUCCUUGCAUAGUCUCCCCCGCCUAUAAACCAGUCAUUGAAUGAGUUGCCCUCCCGGAAGGUGGCAGGGCGCUCCCUUGGACAAGGCAGCUCAGCCAGCUCCUAUCAGCUAAGGACAAUUCCAAGUGGGCAGCGGUCCCCACCCAAACCUUUGAAGGGGGUAGUUAUAUGGUGUGCUCCUGAAUCCACCAUCCCAUCCAACAAAACUCCUGCUCAUCCUUCAGUUGGCAGCUCAAGCUUGACCCAUUCUUUCUGAACUCCUAGCCACUCCCUGAGCCCCUAGACUCGCCACUAUUUCCAUCCGCAAUGAUGGCCCUGCUUCAGAAAUGUCAGAUAACUCCUUACCCUCCAUCUCUAGACAGUGAGAAAUGGAGAUCACCUUUACCACCUGUUCCUGGCACAAAGAAGCCUCCCCUAGGUGCUGAGUAGAUGGAUGUUGCAUGGGAGGUGCCAGCAGGCCCACGGGAAUGUUCCAGCUUCCACAAUUUCCUCUCUAUCAGUGACUCAAAGUGUCUACGUUGUUUCUGCCGAUGACAUACAAGCACAGAGAAAGCUUGCUCCCACAGCCAACCUGGCAACCUCUCUUGGGCUCAGGCCAAGAAAGUCCUGUCCUUGUUCCCUUCCCUGUCCAGUGUUCUGCUGUAAGUCCACUUCCUAGCUAAGAGGGCCAAGCACAUUUAGAAGCCUCCGUGCCAGGGAAAGCCCAAUGCCAUUGCCAACUGCACUACAUCGCCGUUCUUCUGAAGGAAAUUACUAUUGAUCCCACAGCUCUCCUCCCCAUGCUGUUUGCCGGGGACAGCCAAGGAUUCCCGUGCCAGCUGGGCUCCCACACGGCUCGACUGUUCCUGCACCAGAUGGCCAGACCAACACCCUCUGGCUGCCGCACGCUCCCUGGGAGACGAGGCUCUGACGUCUAUCAGCCUGGCUUUUUGUGCACAGGGACGCCGGGGUCAGGGAUUACAGGGCCAAUCACAUUACACUAAAAAUCUCUGCACAGCGUAAAGAUUUCCAAAUCCCAGUGGUUAUCAGUGUAACCAACAAGGCAGGGAAACUGUUUCUAUAGCCUUAACUUUCACUGCUCUUUUCACAAAUAUCAGUUGAAUGCCUCCGUGGUCUGAGGGAUGCAAUGGUAAACAAGACAGUCCCUACCCUCAAGCUAGUUAUAGUCUACUGGGGUAUAGGUUAGGUAACCAUAUCAUUUAUUGUUCAAACUAGGACACUUUUGAGAAAGUAAAAGGGGUGUUUUUAUCGUUAAACCAGGGUAGUAGGCAUAAAUAAGGAGGUGUUCCAGGCAAACCAGGAUGUUUGGGCACCCCAGAUAGAGACACAGCAUGACCAAAAUGGGGGGGAGUUCAGGUCAUGGGGGCAUAGUACUGUUAGGUGGCGCCACAAGAUGGCGCAAUUGAAAUACUCGUAGCUUUUCUUUGUUUUUGUUUUCUCUCUUGAAAACUAAUUUUUCUUUCCAUUGCCACAGAGCCAGUAGAACCCUUCCAUGGUGUGCUGGAGCCAAAGGGUACUGGUUUGUGAGAUCAGAUCAUCAAAUUUUCAGGAAUUUUUGCCAAUUGGUUACUAAGCAUAGCCAUUAAUAAAAAUUAAAAGAAGUAAAAUAAAAAAUAGAAUUAUAAUUAAAAUAAUUAAAAUUUAAAAUGGAGUAAGUCAUAUUAAAAACAAAGGUAAUAAAUACUGAAAACUCACACCUUCCUGACUGCUUUGCUACAGUUUACUAUUAUUUACUCUCAUGAGGUUAUUUACCCUUUCAUGACUGUGUGGUAGAAAUACUAUGUAAAAGGCAGGGCAUGGUGGCUCACACCUGUAAUCACAGCACUUUGGAAAGCUGAGGCAGGUGGAUCACGAGGUCAGGAGUUCGAGACCAGCCUGGCCAACAUAAUGAAACCCCCUCUCUACUAAAAAUACAAAAAUUAGCCAGGUGUGGUGGCGGGCACCUGUAGUCCCAGCUACUCUGGAGGCUGAGGCAGGCGAAUCGCUUGAACCCGGGAGGCGGAGGUUGUAGUGAGCUGAGACCACACCAUUGCACUCCAGCCUGGGUGAGAGGGUGAGACUCUGUGUCAAAAAAAAAAAGAAAAAAGAAAGAAAUACUAUGUAAUGCUGUGUCCGUGUCUUUUCAACUCCAUGGUCAGCACCAUCACGUGGGCAGCUUGAGACUGGCUGUGGUGGGAGUAUUUGCAUCAUGGAAAUCAGCAGAUACUACAAGUCAGGGCUUGGGGGGCAGGGAGCCAGUUGUUAAACAUUUACUAGCACAUCACCAGAAUCAUCAUUUAAGUUCAAUAAUUUAUGUGGCUGAUUUCAUGUACUCUGGGCAGUUCUAUCACAUUCCC